ACUUUUAAAGACUCCGGAUGCUUUUGGUUUCCCGUCUUGGUUCGGGGGCCCCCGCCCACCAGCCCACCCCACCGCACCCGCGCUCUCGGGGGAUUUAGUGGGUUCCCAUUUGCUUUGAACCAAACCAGACAGUUGGCAGCUCAAACAUUAAAUUCAAGCACCCACGUGCUUCACCUUUCCUGCUGUAAUCUUUUGCCCGGUUGAAGUCCAAAAUCCUCUGAAAUCAGCUGCAUGGAUAAGGCAGAAAAUGGAUAUACAUUUGGUUUCUUCCGUAGGCACAAACAUUGUUUCAGGUACUUUUACAUUUAAAAGUAUUAAAUUGCACUGAAGUAUUUAAUUCUAUAUGUGUUAGCAUUAGAUGCACAUUUCUGUGUUUUGCUAUGCUUUAGUAAAUGAUAUGGAAUGGGCCAGUGUGGAGCACAUUUAACAAAUCAAGAUUUUUCUACAGUAUGGAAAAAAAAAAUCUCCCUGCACCCCAGUAGUAUUUGUUACCCC
rnacentral:lncRNA from 1 species